rnacentral:misc_RNA from 1 species
UUUCCGUAGGUGAACCUGCGGAAGGAUCAUUAUCGAAAAGCAAUCCGGGGGGGAGGCCACCGAGCGAAGUUUGGUAGAUCGUAGGGAUUGUCGCUGGCCUUUGGAAACGAAGGCAUGUGCACGUUCCGAGUUCUCCUUAGUCCUCCUUUGCCUUUCCUUUGGAAGUCCCUUUCUUCACACCCGUGCACACAUUGUAGGUCUCCGCGAGGGGAUCUAUGUCUUCACAAAACUCUACGUAUGUCCAGGAAUGUAUCUAAAGCGUCGAACGGCUCGGCUCCAUGCCCGGUCGCCGACGGUAAAGAACCAUAAUACAACUUUCAGCAACGGAUCUCUUGGCUCUC